rnacentral:rRNA from 1 species
CUCCGAUCCGGGAUAGAACCCUUGCCUUUGAGUACCUCUGUUUCCUCGGUGGGCUCGCCCACCGGUGGACAACUCGAAACUCUUGUAGCAGCAGUAUCUUCUGAGAAAAAUCUUUAAUAGUCAAAACUUUCAACAACGGAUCUCUUGGUUCUGGCAUCGAUGAAGAACGCAGCGAAAUGCGAUAAGUAGUGUGAAUUGCAGAAUUCAGUGAAUCAUCGAAUCUUUGAACGCACAUUGCGCCCUUCGGAAUUCCGUUGGGCAUGCCUGUUCGAGCGUCAUUUGCAUAUUCAAGCCCAGCUUGGUGUUGGGUGCUUGUCCCCCGCCCGGCGGCGGACUCACCUCAAAUGCAUUGGCGGCCGGUAUGUUGGCUACAGCGCAGCACAAGGCGCCUCUUGCCUCUGCAUACCAGUCCCCCAGAAGCCAUCCACAAGCUUGACCUCGGAUCAGGUAGGGAUACCCGCUGAACUUAAGCAUAUCAAUAAGCGGAGGAAAAGAAACCAACAGGGAUUGCCCUAGUAACGGCGAGUGAAGCGGCAACAGCUCAAAUUUGAAAUCUGGCCCUCUCAGGGUCCGAGUUGUAAUUUGUAGAGGGUGCUUUGGUGUUGGCCGCAGUCUAAGUUCCUUGGAACAGGACGUCACAGAGGGUGAGAAUCCCGUACGUGGCUGAUGGUCUUCGCCGUGUAAAGCCCCUUCGACGAGUCGAGUUGUUUGGGAAUGCAGCUCUAAAUGGGAGGUAAAUUUCUUCUAAAGCUAAAUAUUGGCCAGAGACCGAUAGCGCACAAGUAGAGUGAUCGAAAGAUGAAAAGCACUUUGGAAAGAGAGUCAAAAAGCACGUGAAAUUGUUGAAAGGGAAGCGCUUGCGAUCAGACUUGCUCGUAGUUGCUCAUCUAGGCUCUUGCCUGGUGCACUCUUCUGCGGGCAGGCCAGCAUCAGUUCGGGCGGCUGGAUAAAGGCCUCUAUCACGUAUCUU